rnacentral:lncRNA from 1 species
CUGGAUUGAAAACAAAUCUAAGAGCACACAUCUUGAUACGUGCAAUCACGUUCAACAGAAACUCGCCCACGUUAGGAUGUAAUCCAGAAUCCUGAAUAGACCUGAACUCGCAACAGACUGGAACGGGAAUAGAGCACCGAGGGCUGUACCCAGGGGCAGGGCAGAAGACCAGCCCACCCGCCCAGGGCCGAAUCACUCACUGGACCCGCCUCAGGUAUUCCUGAGGCGUCCUCGGGGGUACCGAGGGAUCGAAACCUUCCGUCAAGUCGCAAGGCUCUACCGGCAAUAGCCGAGGCAUCAACUCUUCCACUGCGGACUCCGCUGGUGAAGAAACUGUGCAACAUGCCCAGAUCAUACAACAAGGAAGUAAUGGAAUUGAGAUUCUAUCCUGGGCGCCAAGCCAUUGCUCUAAAUCUCUAUGCUGCACAAGAUACAGCUGAGUAAAGAUUAGUAACAACAAAAAAAAACAACAAAAAAAGACAAGUCCCAGGGAAGGUUCCUGUGAGUCUUUAUGAUCCACUGGCCAUAAAUUAGAGAGAGGCAAUGAAGACUAAAUGCGGAGAGAUCCAGUUUGCUUCCUAGUCUUAGUACAUUGCCAUCUAGGCAUGAGUAGUCUCCUUGUCUCCGUUGUCUGAGAAUGCUAUCCUCUGGCUCUGAGGUCCAGAGCCACUAAGAGAGAAUGCUGACUUGAUGUCAGAAAAUCAAGACAAGGUCUAGUUUAAUUAUGGAACAUGAAACAAAAACUUUACUCCUCUUUUGAAGUAAAAAUGCAAAUCUGUUCCGUUUUAGAGUGGGAUUUCCCUCCUUUGUUAUAUGGCUUUUAAAUUACUCAUGUUCUUUACAAAUCAAAUAAAUAAAA